AGACGUCCCUCCUCUUCUCUGCGCCCUGGCCGCCCUCUCCGGGGAGCCGCCGCGGCAGAGGCGGAGCGGAGCGCACGACGGCGGCGCCGAGAGCGGCGGCGGAGGGCACUGCCCGAGUGGCCGAGGGUCGGGGCUCAGCCCUGCCCGGCGCCGGGGGAGCCGGCCACGAGCGAAGCUGCCGCUGCAGACACCCCGCGCCGUGCGCCGCCCGGGCACCCCGAGAGCCGCAGCCGCCGCCUCCCCGGCAGGUUUCCUGUUCCUUUCAGAAGUUUUCUCUCCAACACCUUUGCUCCUCCUCCUCCCUCCUCCGCUCCCCCUCCGUCUCCCCUCCCCGCUCGGCGCCCCGCCGCGGCCGUCACCGCCGCCGCGCGGGAGCUGGUGGUGCAGAGCCCCUCGGUCCCCUCGGGGGAAUUUUUGGACCAGGUGGUGGUGCCCAUUGGGCGCCGGGGAGGAGAGGCGCCUGGGGAGGAGGGGGCGGGAGGCCAAUCAGGGAGCGGCGGCCGGGGGCGGAGCGGGACGGGGGCGGGACGACGCUGGGGAGGCCGGGCCACCCGGGCAGCCGCGGCUGUGGCCGCGCGGGCCGGGGAGGAGACGCAGCGCGCGGCGGCGCUGGAGGGGCGACGAGGGCGGUAUAGCUGCCCUGGAGGGGCCGGCCCUCGGGUGUGACAGUCCCUGCCUGGGAAAGCGAAGGAUGGCGGAGUCGAGACCCGUUCCCGGAGCUUCAAGGGGGCAGGGAGGGAGUAAGGCAAGCAUAUCUGAUGAAAGAAAGGAUGAACACAUGAAAGGAUGGAUGAAGGAAGGAACAAACAAGCAUUUACUGAAUGACGAUCAUACAUCACCUUGAUUAUUUAAGUAUGAGGUUCAGUAAAUUGAUGUCCAGUUACCUAAGUGGAGCUAAGUAUACGGAGGCAAUGGAUACCAGUCGGAAAUGCGCUGGAGCAGACGUCGCUGGCACCAUUUGUCCAUGAAUUGGAUCAGAAGAGUUCCAGCAAUACCCAAUCUUGUGCUGAGGCUGACAUCUGUCUCCGUGAAUAUGCUGGCUGUCACUACUCACUAUCCAUGUGAAGAGACUCACAUUCUUUGCAGCGUGCCAGACAUAGUUGCUCUUACUGGAAAAUUGCUCUAUUCUCUGAUGUCUCUAUAUGCCUUCCAAGGGAAAAUAAGUCCAUUUCAGUUAAGCAUCUAAGUGUCUCUGACUCACCUGUUCAGCAUUGUGUUCUUAUAGAUAUUAAAAAUAAAUAGGGCUCAAAUUUUCUAAGUUGCUCCCUA
rnacentral:lncRNA from 1 species